rnacentral:rRNA from 1 species
AGGACGAACGCUUGCGACGUGCCUAAGAAAUGCAAGUCGAACGGACAGUAGCAAUACUGUUAGUGGCGAACGGUCGCGUAACACGUAGGCAACCUGCCCUGAAGCGGGGGACAACAGCUUGAAAGAGCUGCUAAUACCGCAUGUGUCUAUUUUCCGGCAUCGGGAGAUAAACAAAGCUUUAUGCACUUCAGGAUGGGCCUGCGGCCUAUCAGCUAGUUGGUGUGGUAACGGCUCACCAAGGCUUCGACGGGUAGCUGGUCUGAGAGGACGAUCAGCCGGAUUGGGACUGAGAUACGGCCCAGACUCCUACGGGGGGCAGCAAUUAGGAAUCUUGCACAAUGGGGGAAACCCUGAUGCAGCGACGUCGCGUGAAGGAUGAAAUCUUUCGGGAUGUAACUUCUUUUAUCAGCCAUGAAACAAAUGACAGUAGCUGAUGAAUAACGCCCCGGACUAACUACGCGCCAGCAGCCGCGGU